rnacentral:misc_RNA from 1 species
GAUGAAGAACGCAGCGAAAUGCGAUACGUAAUGUGAAUUGCAGAAUUCAGUGAAUCAUCGAAUCUUUGAACGCACAUUGCGCCCGCUAGUAUUCUGGCGGGCAUGCCUGUCCGAGCGUCAUUUCAACCCUCAAGCCCCCGGGCUUGGUGUUGGGGAUCGGCGAGCCUCCGCGCCCGCCGUCCCCUAAAUCUAGUGGCGGUCUCGCUGUAGCUUCCUCUGCGUAGUAGCACACCUCGAACUGGGAAACAGCGCGGCCACGCCGUUAAACCCCCAACUUCUGAACGUUUGACCUCGGAUCAGGUAGGAAUACCCGCUGAACUUAAGCAUAUCAAUAAGCGGAGGA